rnacentral:rRNA from 1 species
CGUAGGGUGCAAGCGUUAUCCGGAAUUAUUGGGCGUAAAGAGCUCGUAGGCGGUUUGUCGCGUCUGCUGUGAAAACUGGAGGCUCAACCUCCAGCCUGCAGUGGGUACGGGCAGACUAGAGUGCGGUAGGGGAGAUUGGAAUUCCUGGUGUAGCGGUGGAAUGCGCAGAUAUCAGGAGGAACACCGAUGGCGAAGGCAGAUCUCUGGGCCGUAACUGACGCUGAGGAGCGAAAGCAUGGGGAGCGAACAGGAUUAGAUACCCUGGUAGUCCAUGCCGUAAACGUUGGGAACUAGAUGUAGGGACCAUUCCACGGUUUCUGUGUCGCAGCUAACGCAUUAAGUUCCCCGCCUGGGGAGUACGGCCGCAAGGCUA